GGACGUAGCUCAGGGGGACAGCACCUGCUUUGCAUGCAGAAGGUUCCAGGUUCAAGACAUGGCAUCUUCC